rnacentral:rRNA from 1 species
GAUGAACGCUGGCGGCGUGCCUAAUACAUGCAAGUCGAGCGAAUGGAUUAAGAGCUUGCUCUUAUGAAGUUAGCGGCGGACGGGUGAGUAACACGUGGGUAACCUGCCCAUAAGACUGGGAUAACUCCGGGAAACCGGGGCUAAUACCGGAUAACAUUUUGAACCGCAUGGUUCGAAAUUGAAAGGCGGCUUCGGCUGUCACUUAUGGAUGGACCCGCGUCGCAUUAGCUAGUUGGUGAGGUAACGGCUCACCAAGGCAACGAUGCGUAGCCGACCUGAGAGGGUGAACGGCCACACUGGUACUGAGACACGGCCCAGACUCCUACGGGAGGCAGCAGUAGGGAAUCUUCCGCAAUGGACGAAAGUCUGACGGAGCAACGCCGCGUGAGUGAUGAAGGCUUUCGGGUCGUAAAACUCUGUUGCUAGGGAAGAACAAGUGCUAGUUGAAUAAGCUGGCACCUUGACGGUACCUAACCAGAAAGCCGCGGCUAACUACGUGCCAGCCGCCGCCGUAA